rnacentral:rRNA from 1 species
UUGGAGGGCAAGUCUGGUGCCAGCAGCCGCGGUAAUUCCAGCUCCAAUAGCGUAUAUUAAAGUUGUUGCAGUUAAAAAGCUCGUAGUUGAAUUUCGGGAUCAAUUUAUUGGUCGUGCCAACGGUACGCACUGGUACAAUUGGUUUCUCCCUUCUGACGAAGCAUGAUGUCAUUAAUUUGAUGUCGUGGGGAAUCAGGACUGUUACUUUGAAAAAAUUAGAGUGUUUAAAGCAGGCUUUGGCUUGAAUACAUUAGCAUGGAAUAAUGAAAUAGGACGUUUGAUCUUAUUUCGUUGGUUUCUAAGAUCGACGUAAUGAUUAAUAGGGAUAGUUGGGGGCAUUAGUAUUCAAUUGUCAGAGGUAAAAUUCUUGGAUUUAUUGAAGACUAACUACUGCGAAAGCAUUUGCCAAGGAUGUUUUCAUUAAUCAAGAACGAAAGUUAGGGGAUCGAAGACGAUCAGAUACCGUCGUAGUCUUAACCAUAAACUAUGCCGACUAGGGAUCGGAUGAUGUUAAUUUUUUAAUGACUCAUUCGGCGCCUUACGGGAAA